GGCCCUGUGGCUCAACGGUAGAGCAGUCGACUCCACAUCGGAAGGUUAUCUGUUCAAAUUAGGUCAGGGUCA
rfam:Colletotrichum sublineola strain TX430BB Scaffolds0121.1, whole genome shotgun sequence.